UACGUAUGGUGCAAGCGUUAUCCGGAUUUACUGGGUGUAAAGGGAGCGCAGGCGGCGCGGCAAGUCUGAUGUGAAAGCCCGGGGCUCAACCCCGGUACUGCAUUGGAAACUGUCGUGCUAGAGUGUCGGAGGGGUAAGCGGAAUUCCUAGUGUAGCGGUGAAAUGCGUAGAUAUUAGGAGGAACACCAGUGGCGAAGGCGGCUUACUGGACGAUAACUGACGCUGAGGCUCGAAAGCGUGGGGAGCAAACAGG
rnacentral:ncRNA from 2 species